AAUCUAACUUCAGGACGGGGACAACAGUUGGAAACGACUGCUAAUACCCGAUAUGCCGCGAGGUGAAACCUAAUUGGCCUGAAGAAGAGCUUGCGUCUGAUUAGCUAGUUGGUGGGGUAAGAGCCUACCAAGGCGACGAUCAGUAGCUGGUCUGAGAGGAUGAGCAGCCACACUGGGACUGAGACACGGCCCAGACUCCUACGGGAGGCAGCAGUGGGGAAUUUUCCGCAAUGGGCGAAAGCCUGACGGAGCAACGCCGCGUGAGGGAGGAAGGUCUUUGGAUUGUAAACCUCUUUUCUCAAGGAAGAAGUUCUGACGGUACUUGAGGAAUCAGCCUCGGCUAACUCCGUGCCAGCAGCCGCGGUAAUACGGGGGAGGCAAGCGUUAUCCGGAAUUAUUGGGCGUAAAGCGUCCGCAGGUGGUCAGCCAAGNCUGCCGUCCAAAUCAGGUUGCUUAACGACCUA
rnacentral:rRNA from 1 species